UAAGUCGAGCACGUGGGAGUCUGUCGAUUUGCAUCUCCGCUGGAGGUCUUCUCCCUGUCGUAAAGAAGCAGACUGCAGAGAAGUUGUCGGUGGAUGCGGGGCUCAGUCUCCAUAUCGUGGGACCCAGGGACACAAUUGGAAACACUGGUUAUAUUGCCAACACCUUGGCUGGAAUGCCAUUUGAGACUCAGAUAUGACCACAUAGCUUUAAGGACUUUAAGGAACGAAGGUUGACAUUAUGGAGCCAAUAAAGCCCUUUGGAAAAACUACCUGAUACCUAGCUUACAAGGCUUCCCAGCAGCCUUACCAGCAAAAUCUUCAAUUACGAUUCUGACAUGAGCCUCCUCAUCACCCCGAAAUCUGAAGAAUUCAAUGGACUGACUGUUUGUCAUCUGGUUGAACCCUACUGAGAGAAAAACUCGCCUGUGAGGCUGCAGAUGCCAUUGCCAGCCUAGCCCACACUCAUCAAAGAUUCUACAAGUCAAAUUCAAAUGGCAUACUGGAAAAGUUUUUCUGUGCUUCAUGAUGGCUGGAAUCUCAGCUAGGAAAACUUGACUGCUGGGAACUGAAAUCAAGUGAAGGCGUCUUUAUUGACACAAUUCGCAGUCAAGGCUGGAUGUUGGUUGGGACAUCAGCUAGACCUUUUGACCAGGCACCUACUUGUGGUCUAUCCAUGUGCCUGGGCUUCCCCAGGGUAAUCAGGAUUUUUCCAUGGUAACUCAGUGUUCCAAGAGGGAGUAUCUCAGCAUACAAGGCAGAAACUGCAGUGCCUUUCAUGACCUAGCCUUGGAAGUCACAAGGCAUCAUUCCACCAUAUUCUGUGGCCAAAGUAAUCACAAGCCACGGAGAGGACAUGAGCCGCACCUCUUGAUGUCAGAGAAGCUGGUCACAUUGUAAAAGGACAUAGGAGAUGGGAGAUAUUAUUGCAGUCCUCUCUGGAAACUCACAGAAACUAUGAAAAGCAUUUUACAUAAUUAUGUAAUUUAAUUAUCAUAGUAUCCCAAGUUAGAUAGUCAAUAUUAUCUGAAAUUUAAAGUAAAAGAAAACUGAACAAUGGGAAGUUCAGUGAUUUGCUCAAGAUCACAUUGUGGGCAUCUGGUGUUCCUGAGAGCCAGGUGAAUAAAACUAAUUCCAGAGUUCAUGCUCUAACUGAUACAUCUUCCUCAUGGCCAGGGGAGUCUCAAUAAAUCAAGUGAUGUGGGACUGGGGCAAUAACUCAAAAAUCAAAGGGACUAGAAAGGGGAGAUGAGUAGGAAAAGAAAAAGAAAAUCAGUAGGGGCUAUGGUACAGUGAUGGUACCUGGUCAAUGUUCAAUUAUUAUUUAGUGAUUUGAUAUGUUUUACUUAACAGGAUAUGGAAACAACAUAAAUAAUCCAAUUCCUCCAAUUCCUCCUAAGUUAACACAAACCAAAUAUUUAAAAUUUAAUUAAAAAAUCAAGCACCAUCAAAGUUCCAUACUAUCCAUUUCAUUCCAUUAUAUUUUAAACAUGAUAAAGAAAGAAUCUAAUUGUUUGAAUGUUUUCAAUAUUUUCAUCUUUAAAUGUUUAGUAGAUGUAACCCAAUGCCAAAUUUGGCUUGAUUUUAUCCUAAUGACU